AGAGAAAAAUAGUUUCAGUUAUCACACCGUGAUAACACUACAGACCAACUCUGUCCAAUAGAAACUUCUGAGAUGUUGGAAAUCUUUUAUGUCUAUGCCAUCUAAUAGGCACUAGACUUAUGUGGAUAUUUAACACUUAAGAUUUGGCCAGUGAUACUAAGGAAAUGAGAUUUUAAUUUUAUUUAAUUGACUAAAUUUUAGUUGAAAUGGUCAGAUAAAGCAUAAUUUUUAAUUUAGUUUUCAGGGGAUCUAUUACUGUCCCCAAAUUGAUGUGAAUUAUUGUUUGUAUAUAUAGCAUUUUGGGGGAAAGAAGUCUGUCACACAUGGAUACAUACAGGGGCACAACACUCACUGGGGCUUUUUAAAGGGUGCAGGGUGGGAGGAGGGAGAGGAUCAGGAAAAAUAACUAAUGGGCACUAGGCUUAAAACCUGGGUGAUGAAAUAAUCUGUAUAACAAACCUGCAUGACACAGAUUUAUCUAUGUAACAAACCUGCACUUGUACCCCUGAACUUAAAAGUUAAAAAUAAACUUUUUCAAAUUCUCAAAAAUAAAUGAGAAUUACAGAAUUAGAAGCCAAACACAUUGAUAUUUACUAUGAAAUAGAAGAUCAGUAUAUUAGUUUUUAUAGUGAGAAAUAAAAUAUAAAGCAAAGUAAGCAUUCGGGUCUUCUAGUGUUCUGAUAUCACUGUAAUUGAAAUUUGUUUGCAUGUGGAAUUUAUAGUAGUUAAUAAGCGCAGAUUAUUUUUCUGGCUGGCAUUGUGCUAGUUAUUUAACAUAUGAUAUCUCAUUUAAUUCUUUCAACAACCCUAGCAGGUAGUUGUUAUCCUUAUUUCACUUAAGAAGAAACAGACUCAGCAUGGGUUAAAUAAUUUACCAAUGGUUAAAAAGCCAAGUAAGGGGCAGAAACAGGAUUUUGCUCAUAUAUAUGACUCUAAACACAUACUUAUUCUCUUGUAAUAUGCUGUUUUCUCAACAUUGCAUCACUGAUACUUAGAGCUACAAGAAUUAUUAGGUACAUGUGUUCUGAAAGAAGUCUGAAAAUUUACCAAUUUUUGUAUAUACAAUGCUUG
rnacentral:lncRNA from 1 species